rnacentral:SRP_RNA from 1 species
GCCAGGUGUGGUGGCACACACCUGUAAUCCCAGCUACCUGGGAGGCUAAGGCAGGAGAAUCACUUGAACCCAGGGGGCAGAGGUUGCAGUGAGUCGAGAUCGUGCCACUGCACUCCAGCCUGGGUAACACAGCGAGACUCUGUCUUUA